CCUACGGGCGGCAGCAGUGGGGAAUAUUGGACAAUGGGGGCAACCCUGAUCCAGCCAUGCCGCGUGUGUGAAGAAGGCCCUCGGGUUGUAAAGCACUUUCAGUGAGGAAGAACGCCUGGUGGUUAAUACCCAUCAGGAAAGACAUCACUCACAGAAGAAGCACCGGCUAACUCCGUGCCAGCAGCCGCGGUAAUACGGAGGGUGCGAGCGUUAAUCGGAAUUACUGGGCGUAAAGCGCGCGUAGGUGGCUUGAUAAGCCGGUUGUGAAAGCCCCGGGCUCAACCUGGGAACGGCAUCCGGAACUGUCAAGCUAGAGUGCAGGAGAGGAGGGUAGAAUUCCCGGUGUAGCGGUGAAAUGCGUAGAGAUCGGGAGGAAUACCAGUGGCGAAGGCGGCCUUCUGGACUGACACUGACACUGAGGUGCGAAAGCGUGGGUAGCAAACAGGAUUAGAUACCCUGGUAGUC
rnacentral:rRNA from 1 species